rnacentral:rRNA from 1 species
AGAGUUUGAUCCUGGCUCAGAGCGAACGCUGGCGGCAUGCUUAACACAUGCAAGUCGCACGGGCAGGGGCAACUCUGUCAGUGGCGGACGGGUGAGUAACGCGUAGGUAUCUAUCCUUGGGUGGGGGACAACUGUGGGAAACUACAGCUAAUACCGCAUGAUGACCGAGGUCCAAAGCUCGCGAGAGCGCCUGGGGAGGAGCCUGCGUACGAUUAGCUAGUUGGUGGGGUAAAGGCCUACCAAGGCGACGAUCGUUAGCUGGUCUGAGAGGAUGAUCAGCCACAUUGGGACUGAGACACGGCCCAAACUCCUACGGGAGGCAGCAGUGGGGAAUAUUGGACAAUGGGCGCAAGCCUGAUCCAGCAAUGCCGCGUGUGUGAAGAAGGUCUUCGGAUUGUAAAGCACUUUCGACGGGGACGAUGAUGACGGUACCCGUAGAAGAAGCCCCGGCUAACUUCGUGCCAGCAGCCGCGGUAAUACGAAGGGGGCUAGCGUUGCUCGGAAUGACUGGGCGUAAAGGGCGCGUAGGCGGAUGGCACAGUCAGAUGUGAAAUUCCCGGGCUUAACCUGGGGGGCUGCAUUUGAUACGUGUUGUCUAGAGUGAGGAAGAGGGUCGUGGAAUUCCCAGUGUAGAGGUGAAAUUCGUAGAUAUUGGGAAGAACACCGGUGGCGAAGGCGGCGACCUGGUCCUUGACUGACGCUGAGGCGCGAAAGCGUGGGGAGCAAACAGGAUUAGAUACCCUAGUAGUCC